rnacentral:rRNA from 1 species
UACGGAGGGUGCGAGCGUUGUCCGGAAUCACUGGGCGUAAAGGGCGCGUAGGCGGCGCGGGAAGUCAUCGGUGAAAGUUCAGGGCUCAACUCUGAAUCGGCCGGUGAUACUCUCGUGCUUGAGCACUGUAGAGGCAGGUGGAAUUCCGGGUGUAGCGGUGGAAUGCGCAGAUAUCAGGAGGAACACCGAUGGCGAAGGCAGAUCUCUGGGCCGUAACUGACGCUGGAGGAGCGAAAGCGUGGGGAGCGAACAGG